rnacentral:misc_RNA from 1 species
AAGUCGUAACAAGGUUUCCGUAGGUGAACCUGCGGAAGGAUCAUUAACGCAUCUCUGGCGGCGGCGCGAGCCCUGCUCCGGCCCAAACGGCCGUGUAGCGGGCCCGUGCCUGCUGUCCAACCCCUUUGCAAACCCUGUGCACAUUCACGGCGGAGGUGUCCACCCCUUCUUCCUCUUCGGAGGAGGGGCGGUCCCGAUGCCGCAUCACCAAACUCAACUUUAACGAAUGAUUUGCGGCCUCUGAGUCGCCUAACUACGAAACAACUUUCAACAACGGAUCUCUUGGCUCUC